GUCCACGCCGUAAACGAUGGGUGCUGGGUGUCGCGGGUAUUGACCCCCGCGGUGCCGUAGCUAACGCGUUAAGCACCCCGCCUGGGAAGUACGGCCGCAAGGCUAAAACUCAAAGGAAUUGACGGGGGCCCGCACAAGCAGUGGAGCAUGUGGUUUAAUUCGACGCAACGCGCAGAACCUUACCCGGGCUAGAAAAGCACGAAACCCUUUGGAAACAUGGGGGUGCUCGCAAGAGAAUCGUGAUCCAGGUGCUGCAUGGCUGUCGU
rnacentral:rRNA from 1 species